rnacentral:rRNA from 1 species
GGGUCAGUAGGUUGGUCGUGCCACCGGUACGUACUGGUCUCACUGAUUCCCCCUUCCUGAAGAACCGUAAUGCCAUUAAUUUGGUGUUGCGGGGAAACAGGACUGUUACUUUGAAAAAAUUAGAGUGUUUAAAGCAAGCUAACGCUUGAAUACAUUAGCAUGGAAUAAUGAAAUAGGACGAUCGAUCCUAUUUUGUUGGUUUCUAGAAUUGACGUA